AGGAGACUCUCCGUUUUCGUUUUCAGUUUUCAUUCGCAGUCACCAUCCAGCCACGGCUCCAAACUGCAAAGCGAAACCGAUCAUUAAGCCAAUAACAGACGGCAGCAAGAGUAGAUCUUCGUCCACAGCAAGAGUAGAGUUCCACAAAUCCCCUCCAUUGGAAUACCGCUUUUCUGAGAAAGCCCCCGUCAAUUUGGAUCCGAUUGUUUGGUUAGGAGGCGGCGCUGAAGAAUGAAGAAGGACUGGGCUUGAGAAACGAAACCCGAAAUCGAAAUCGAGAAUUGGUAGAGUUCCACAAAUCCCUUCCAUCGGAAUACCGCUUUUCUGACAAACCCCCCGUCAAUUUCGAUCCGAUUGUUUGGGGAGGAGGCGGCGCUGAAGAAGGAAAACGGACCGGGCUUGAGAAACGAAACCCGAAAUUAAACAUGGCCUUUGGGAAGAGGUCGAAAUCGAGAUGUCACCGAAUCCCAGACGAGGGGUCGCUGCCCAAGUGAAUUGCGUAUAAGUAAUUUGUAAUUAUUCAAGUGGAGAUUUGGAUGGCUGUGGUAAAUAUAUGUAGGAUUAAAUGAUAUUCAAGUGGCGACUUGUAUGGCAGUGGUGAUUGUAUAUAUAUUUGUCGCUAAUUUAUGUGAAUAAUUGCACUCCAAAUGAACGUUGCAUAGGUGAAUAGAAAAAGGUGAGAUCGUCUAGGGUCGGCCAUCGGCGUCCAUCAGAAGACCGCAGAUCUGCCAUAGCCCCCUUCAAUUUCUAUCCGACAGUUUGUGUAGCAGACUAGCAGGCAAGGUGACGAUGGCAAUAAGCUAUUGUGGUUGGACAGGGUGACCGGAAGGGUUUGCACGUCGAUUUCUGCAAAGGCCAUGGCUAUAACAGGGAUUGAGGAUUGGCGAUACUGGAACUGGAUUGCUGCUGAAGAAUCAAGGAGUCAAAAGUGGUAUGAACCAGAAUGGUGGAAGUUUGGUGAUAUAAAAUCAUAUUUUUGCCAUGCUUCAGGUGAGAUGUAUGUCAUUUCUCAAGGUCUGGCCAAAUUUGUUUGAAUAAAUUGCUCCUAUCAUCAUUAGUUUCAUCAAGGUACAAGCACUACAAAAAAGAAUUGAUGUAAUUGCUUUUGUUUAUAUUUCUUACGUGGUUCUCUUGGACAGGAGGUCUGUCUCUCUCCCUCACACAUAUACACAAGUUACUAUAUAAAAUUUGGUGCCAGCCCGUGCCGAUUCAGUUGAUUUACUUCUUAAGGUGUUUUUUGUUACAGAAGCCAUUUGUGCUGGUGUAUGAUUUAUUUGCUUUGUGGUGGUGGAUCAAAGUUAAACCAGAUGUAGGGAGAUGGUUUAAAAGACAUGAAUCCAAUAUCCAUGAGAUGUUUGCAGCCUGCACAAUGUAGACUGUAGAGUAUGAAGAUUGAGGAAAAAUCAUAGCUGUGAUUGAGAAUUUAUUCCAAGAAUCUUACCGUAGGUGAAGUAGCUUUGUUCCCAUUACAGUACACUGCAGAUAGGAAAGAAGGGAUUUCAACAAACUAUGCCUAGAGAAGGCGGUCGGUAUAGCUUUAUAGGUUUAGUAACACAAAUUUUACAGUGUAAUAGAGGGUGUUCUUAUUGCAACAUAAUCACACAUUUCUUUAUUCAGAGCAGUAAAAAUUUUGGAUUUCCUUUUGAAAAUAUGUACUCAUCUCUGGAAUGAUGGUCAAGAUUGGUUCAUUCUUGUAUUUGUAUUC